rnacentral:lncRNA from 1 species
UAUAGGUAGUAUAAGGCUGCACAGUGUAGUACACCCAGCUAUACCUGUCGUUCUCACCUGAAGAUCACUCAAUCUCUGCACGGAUAUCGCAGUGUCUCUCUGACAUAUCCUCAUGGAUGAAGGAGCAUCACCUUCAAUUAAAUCUCUCAAAGACUGAACUUCUGGUUAUACCAGCAAAACCAUCUUUUCAACACAACUUCUCUAUAAGUAUCGACUCUCUCUCUCUCUCACCGACAAAGGUUGCUAGGAACCUGGGUGUUAUGGUUGAUGACCAACUCUCCUUCACGCACCAUGUGGCCUCAGUUGCUCGGUCCUGCCGCUUUGCGCUCUAUAACAUCCGAAAAAUUAGACCGUUCCUGACGCAACAGGCCACCCAACUCCUGGUGCAAGCGGUCGUCAUCUCACGCCUCGACUACUGCAAUGCUGUUCUAACUGGCCUCCGGUCCUGUGUAGUAAAACCACUCCAGAUGAUCCAGAACGCAGCAGCACGUCUGGUCUUCAACCAGCCAAAACGGGCACAUGUCACCCCGCUGCUCAUUGAGCUCCAUUGGCUACCAGUUGAUGCUCGCAUCAAAUUCAAAGCUCUUACAAUCGCCUACAAGGUGAUGUCAGAACAGGCUCCUUCCUACCUGCACUCGCUCCUGAAGGCUUACGCUACCUCCCGUCCGCUGCGCUCCUCCAAUGAACGUCGCCUCGCUUUGCCAAACAAACAUUCACACAAAGCAAUCCAGACUGUUCUCAUACAGAGUUCCCCAAUGGUGGAACAAACUACCUUCCACUACCAGAUCAGGAGAAUCUCUCACUAUCUUUAAUAAACUCCUGAAGACAGAGCUCUUCAAAGAGCACUUACUCUCUUAACACCUCUAACACACUAACUACUUCUAACCUCAUUUCCUUCUUCCCCUCCUUCACUCCUCUAUCCUAUUAUUCCCCUUUGUCCUCCUUUUAUCCCUAUCCAAAGAUGUUUUUAUCUUUAAACUUAUUUUACAUUGUACUUGACUAUUGUAAGUCGCUUUGGACAAAAGUGUC